ensembl:lncRNA
AAAAAACUUGUCAAACAUUGUGAUUCUAGCUAGUCCAAGUUAGUAAUCUACGUAAUUAAUGACUAAAAUCAAACAUAAUGAAAAGUGACAAAGAAGAAGUGUUAAAUUUUCACAGAGAAAAAAAAAUAGCCAAUUUAUCAAAAAUAUAUCACCGAAGUUUAGAAACACUAUUAAUAUAUAUUAAUAUACCGAAAAAAAAAAAAGAAAACAUAUAUUAUUCUGACUUUUUUACAUGCCUAAAAGAUAUAAGCUCCUAUAUAAACACGAUAACACCACCUGACAGUAUAAGUACAAAUUUUGUAAACAAUAGUAACAUACAAAAUGAAAAAAAAACGGUGUUAAACAGUGGCAUAGAGACUACAAAUGCAAUAAAUAAAGAAAGUCAUGUGAUUAAAAACAACUACACCACCAACACUGACACCACCAACAUUGACACCACCAACAACGACACCACCAACAACGACACCACAAAUAAAGGUACCCAAAUAAAUGAUGAUGACGAAAUUAAAGCUGAAAAGAACACAUUUAUUAAUAACUUGUUAAUAUAUUUAAAUAGUUUGAUCAUUCUUUAUCUUUCUAAAACUAACCUAAUGGAUGUAUGCAUAAAUCGGAGAGGUUAUAACAAAUGUGGCUUUUAUGCUUGUGACAAUACUUUUUUAAAUAAUGUAAAUAAAAGUAAAUAUAAAAUUGAUGUAAUAACAAAAAAUAUUUAUUUAAGGGAGUAUUUUGAUUUAUUCUGUUCUACUAAUUGUAUGAAUUUAAAUUUAUAUUUGUUAAAACAAAUAACAAAAAACUUAAAAGAUUCAAAAGAGGCUCCAGACUUAAAAAAAAAAUCUUUACUUAUACAUAUAAUGUUUUUAACUUUUUUCCCUUGUUUUAAAUUCCAUGACAUUCAUUUUAUAUUUAAAAAUAUUGAUCAUGUCACAAUAAAGAAUAAUAAAAUAUAUAUUCAGCAAGAAAUCAAUGUGGAAAAUGCAGUAAAUGUGGAAAAUGCAGUAAAUGUGGAAAAUCCAAAAAAUGAAAAAAAUCCCAAAAAUGUGAAAAAUGAAAAAAAUCCCAAAAAUGUGAAAAAUGAAAAAAAUCCCNNNNNNNNNNUGAAAAAUGAAAAAAAUCCCAAAAAUGUGAAAAAUGAAAAAAAUCCCCAAAAUGUGAAAAAUGAAAAAAAUCCCAAAAAUGUGAAAAAUGCAAAAAAUAUGAAAAAUGAAAAAAAUGAAAAAAAGAAAAGCAAAAAUAUAAACAAAGACUCGAGCAUGUAUGACUACCAGCACCCUUUUACGGACAAAACUAAUCUUGUUAAAGUUCACCAGGAGGGCCAUCUAAACAAUGAACAAAACAAAAGUAAUGACAAUAAUAACGUCGUACAAAUUCAUUUUAAGGAGUACACAGAAAGUGACAAGUCGUCUGUAAAACAAGGAAGUAGUGACAUAACAAUUAAUGAAGCUAUACAAAAUAUCAAUCACAUAGACAAGUUACGAAAAUUAAAUAUUGUGUCUCAAAAUAAUAUAACUACUAAUAAAACUAGAAAUGACAAACAAAAUCAUAAAAUAAAAAAAAAAGUAAGUUUUAACAGGGAUAUUGAAAUGUACAAAUAUUAUAAAAAUGACCGAUUAAAUAAGUAUACAGUUGAUAAAGCAAAUAUGGAUGCUUAUAAAAAGAAUGAAAAAAGGUUAAUUAGGCAUGCCCAUUCCAAAGUGAAAAAUAAAAAACGGGAACCUUUUGAAGACUACUCUUUAUACCACUCGACAGACAAAUUAGUAGACCACUGGGAGGACCAUCCUACCGACCAUUCUGCAAACCAAUCAGCAGACCAACCUUCAGACCAAUUGGCAGACCAAUCAGCAGACCAACCGUCAGACCAAUUGGCAGACCAAUCAGCAAACCAAUCAGCAGACCAACCGUCAGACCAAUUGGCAGACCAAUCAGUAGACCAUCCUACCGACCAUUCUGCAAACCAAUCAGAAGACCAAUCAGCAGACCAACCGUCAGACCAAUUGGCAGACCAAUCAGUAGACCAUCCUACCGACCAUUCUGCAAACCAAUCAGAAGACCAAUCAGCAGUCCAAUCAGCAGACCAAUCAGCAGACCAACCGUCAGACAUGUUGAUUAGUUAUAUUGAAUCAAAAUGUAAUGGUUUGAUCAAAGAAGAAAUGAAAAAUAACAAUGAUAAUAGUAGUACCGACACGAUGCUACUACUACAACAACAGCAGCAGCAGCAGCAGUCAAUGCCAUCACAAAAACAAAUGUCACAGGAAAUUAACACCACCAUCGUUCCUAAUAAAACAAGUGUAAAACUAAACUAUUGUGUGAACGAAUCGGACCCAAAUAUGAACAUUUGUAAGAACACGUUAAUACAUAAAAAUACAGAUGGUCAAUUAGGGUAUGAAACGGAUGAUAAACUAGAUAUAAAGAAUGAUGUACGAACAAGUGAGAAAAAUAACAGCAACAACAGUAGCAGUAACAACAGUAGCAGUAACAACAGUAGCAGUAAAAACAGUAGCAGUAAAAACAGUAGCAGUAACAACAGUAGCAGUGACGACAUCUUGCAAAACGAAAUUAUUAAACUAUACGAAUAUGUAAACAAAAAUACAGUUCUUACUAAUAAACACUCAUUUUAUAACAUAUUUCAACACAUUCAUUUAGAUAAAAAUAAAAUCAUAGGAUUUGAUUAUGAAAAAGAAAAUACAAUGAAUUAUGCAUCACAAAAAAUGAAUGAAAUUAAUUUAAAAUAUAAAAAAAUAAAAGAAAAAAAAAAAAUAGUUUUGCUAACCCCAUCAGAAAAAGAUAAAAUAAAUGACACACAUGCUAAAUUGUACAAAAAAAAUGAAGAUUAUCACGAAAGAGAUGAAAAUAAUUUGGAUAAACAUACUGAUGCCACAAAUAAUACAUACAAGCCAUUAGUAGUAAUGGAAAAUAUAAACGUACAACAAAAUGAUAAUAAUAGCAAAAAUAAGCAUACUUCUGACGAACAAGU